ACGAAGAUAAAGAGGAAAAUGUGGGUUGAGAACAAAUAGUAUUUAAUGAGUUUAAAAUGUGGUUCAGAUGCAAAUUAUUACUUCUCCCUGAAAUGUGCCUAUUUUGUUUGUGUAUUUUUUUUGUUAUUUUCUCCUUUUCUUUUAUUUUUCUUUUUUAUUUAUGACAUUUUGAUUUAUUAUAUUAUGCAUUUCUUUUUUUAAGUAUAAAUAUUAUUAAUAGAACAAAAUAACAUAACCAUCAAAAAAACAUCAAAUUAUAUAUUAUAGUUUAUUUUAUGAAGAAAGUUACAAAAUGACCACAUAACAAAAAGUUGUUUGUAAAAG
rnacentral:lncRNA from 1 species